rnacentral:rRNA from 1 species
UACGUAGGGUGCGAGCGUUGUCCGGAAUUAUUGGGCGUAAAGGGCUCGUAGGCGGUCUGUCGCGUCGGUAGUGAAAACUCAGGGCUUAACCCUGAGCCUGCUUCCGAUACGGGCAGACUAGAGGUAUGCAGGGGAGAAGUGGAAUUCCUGGUGUAGCGGUGAAAUGCGCAGAUAUCAGGAGAACACCCGUGGCGAAGGCGGCUCUCUGGGACGGUACUGACGCUGAGACGCGAAAAGCGUGGGGGAGCGAAACAGGG